rnacentral:rRNA from 1 species
GGUCAAGCUACAAAGAGCUAACGGUGGAUACC